UACGAAGGGUGCAAGCGUUGUUCGGAAUUAUUGGGCGUAAAGCGUUCGCAGGCGGGACGAUAAGUUGAGUGUGAAAUCCCCGGGCUUAACCCAGGACGUGCACCCAAAACUGUCGUUCUUGAAUGCUAGAGAGGGUCGUGGAAUUGCUGGUGUAGGAGUGACAUCCGUAGAGAUCAGCAGGAACACCGGAGGCGAAAGCGACGACCUGGCUAGACAUUGACGCUCAGGAACGAAAGCGCGGGGAGCAAACAGG
rnacentral:rRNA from 1 species